rnacentral:lncRNA from 1 species
AGAAGAAGGAAAAAAAAAAGAGAAGAAAUGGAGAUGGUGAGAAGAAAAAGAGAAAAAAAGAGAAGAAGGGGAAAGAAGAAAGUGAGGAGGAUGAGGAAGAAGAGAAGAAAGAAGAAAAGAAGAAUGAUAAGGAAAUGGAACAACAAUGGAUGUGACAACUAUGACAAAGGAGAACAAAAAAAUGAAAAAGAAAAAGAGGAAGAAGAGGAAAAAAAGAAAGAAGAUGAAAAGAAAAUAAACCAAAUCACAAUAUUAACGGAUAUAUUUUUAAUUGUCGGUAAUUAUUAAAAAAAAUUGUAUUCGUCAAUAAAAUUUAUCAAUGAACAUUUAAUCGAUCAAUUUUUAAUUAUCGAUAAUUUUAUUUUACUGAUAUAUUU